rnacentral:rRNA from 1 species
CAAGCAGAAGACGGCAUACGAGAUGUGACUGGAGUUCAGACGUGUGCUCUUCCGAUCUCUCCACCCAGACUCAUCCAUGCGGUUAUUUAUAGAGAGUUUCUGUUGGAGCUGAUACUGCCCUCGGAUCUCGUAACUUGUUCGACCUUACUGGAUUGGUCGGGCCGGGAAGAGGUUCCAGGAAAUAGCUCCCACGUAUAGUCCGUACCCCAAACCGACACAGGUGGACUGGCAGAGUAUGCUAAGGCGCUUGAGAGAACUUUGUUGAAGGAACUAGGCAAAUUGCCCUCGUAACUUCGGAAGAAGAGGGCCCGGUUUUAGCGCAAGCUUUAGCCGGGGGCACAUAGCAGGGGGUGGCGACUGUUUACUAAAAACACAGGGCGCUGCGAAAUCCAAAGAUGACGUAUAGCGUCUGACGCCUGCCCGGUGCUGGAAGGUUAAGAGGAGAUGUGAAAGCGUUGAAUCGAAGCCCCAGUAAACGGCGGCCGUAACAAUAACGGUCCUAAGGUAGCGAAAUUCCUUGUCGGGUAAGUUCCGACCUGCACGAAAGGCGUAACGACUUCCCCACUGUCUCCAACAAAGGCUCAGCGAAAUUGAAUUCCCCGUGAAGGUGCGGGGUUCCCGCGGUCAGACGGAAAGACCCCGUGCACCUUUACUGCAACUUUACGCUGGCAUUAGGAAUGUGAUGUGUAGGAUAGGUGGUAGGCUUUGAAGCCGUGGCGCUAGCCAUGGUGGAGCCAUCCUUGAAAUACCACCCUUUGUGUUCCUGAUGUCUAACCGCGGCCCAUCACUGGGUCCGAGACAGCGUAUGGUGCAGUUUGACUGGGGCGGUCGCCUCCCAAAGAGUAACGGAGGCGCGCGAUGGUAGGCUCAAUCCGGUCGGAAAUCGGAUGUUGAGUGCAAUGGCAAAAGCCUGCCUGACUGCAAGGUCGACGGACCAAGCAGAGACGAAAGUCGGUCAUAGUGAUCCGUGGUCCCGCGUGGAAGGGCCAUCGCUCAACGGAUAAAAGGUACGCCGGGGAUAACAGGCUGAUCGCACCCAAGCGUCCAUAGCGACGGUGCGGUUUGGCACCUCGAUGUCGGCUCAUCACAUCCUGGGGCUGUAGCCGGUCCCAAGGGUAUGGCUGUUCGCCAUUUAAAGUGGUACGUGAGCUGGGUUUAGAACGUCGUGAGACAGUUCGGUCCCUAUCUGCCGUGGUUGUUCGAAACUUGAGAAGACUUCUUCCUAGUACGAGAGGACCGGAAGGAACGUACCUCUGGUGGACCGGUUGUGGCGCCAGCCGCAUAGCCGGGUAGCUAAGUACGGACGAGAUAACCGCUGAACGCAUCUAAGCGGGAAACUCACUUCAAAACUAGGUUUCGCUUGAGAGCCGGGGAAGACUACCCCGUCGAUAGGCCAGGUGUGUAAGCGUAGCAAUGCGUUGAGCUUACUGGUACUAAUCGCUC